CAGAGGCGAUGAAGGACGUGCUAAUCUGCGAUAAGCGCCGGUAAGGUGAUAUGAACCGUUAUAACCGGCGAUUUCCGAAUGGGGAAACCCAGUGUGACUCGUCACACUAUCAUUAACUGAAUCCAUAGGUUAAUGAGGCGAACCGGGGGAACUGAAACAUCUAAGUACCCCGAGGAAAAGAAAUCAACCGAGAUUCCCCCAGUAGCGGCGAGCGAACGGGGAGGAGCCCAGAGCCUGAAUCAGCAUGUGUGUUAGUGGAAGCGUCUGGAAAGGCGCGCGAUACAGGGUGACAGCCCCGUACACAAAAGCGCAUGUGCUGUGAGCUCGAUGAGUAGGGCGGGACACGUGGUAUCCUGUCUGAAUAUGGGGGGACCAUCCUCCAAGGCUAAAUACUCCUGACUGACCGAUAGUGAACCAGUACCGUGAGGGAAAGGCGAAAAGAACCCCGGCGAGGGGAGUGAAAAAGAACCUGAAACCGUGUACGUACAAGCAGUGGGAGCACAGGUUUACCUGUGUGACUGCGUACCUUUUGUAUAAUGGGUCAGCGACUUAUAUUCUGUAGCAAGGUUAACCGUAUAGGGGAGCCGUAGGGAAACCGAGUCUUAACCGGGCGUUAAGUUGCAGGGUAUAGACCCGAAACCCGGUGAUCUAGCCAUGGGCAGGUUGAAGGUUGGGUAACACUAACUGGAGGACCGAACCGACUAAUGUUGAAAAAUUAGCGGAUGACCUGUGGCUGGGGGUGAAAGGCCAAUCAAACCGGGAGAUAGCUGGUUCUCCCCGAAAGCUAUUUAGGUAGCGCCUCGUGAAUUCAUCUCCGGGGGUAGAGCACUGUUUCGGCUAGGGGGCCAUCCCGGCUUACCAACCCGAUGCAAACUGCGAAUACCGGAGAAUGUUAUCACGGGAGACACACGGCGGGUGCUAACGUCCGUCGUGAAGAGGGAAACAACCCAGACCGCCAGCUAAGGUCCCAAAGUCAUGGUUAAGUGGGAAACGAUGUGGGAAGGCCCAGACAGCCAGGAUGUUGGCUUAGAAGCAGCCAUCAUUUAAAGAAAGCGUAAUAGCUCACUGGUCGAGUCGGCCUGCGCGGAAGAUGUAACGGGGCUAAACCAU
rnacentral:rRNA from 1 species